rfam:Peptoclostridium acidaminophilum DSM 3953 chromosome, complete genome.
CCUGUGGAGUGUUACAUCAAACCAGAGUAGCUUCGGCAAAAUGGGACACUGUGAAGCAGGAA